rnacentral:rRNA from 1 species
UACCAGCACCCCGAGUGGUCGGGACGAUUAUUGGGCCUAAAGCAUCCGUAGCCGGUUCUACAAGUCUUCCGUUAAAAUCCACCUGCUUAACAGAUGGGCUGCGGAGGAUACUAUGGAGCUAGGAGGCGGGAGAGGCAAGCAGUACUUAGUGGGUAGGGGUAAAAUCCGUUGAUCCAUUGAAGACCACCAGUGGCGAAGGCGGCUUGCCAGAACGCACUCGACGGUGAGGGA